GCGUCCUGGGCUGAAGGGCCCUCUGUCCUGCGUUGCUGGCAGCCAGCGCUCGCUCUGAUCCCGGGAGGGCCCUGUGAGCGAACCUGGUGCCAUCGCGUUCGUGACAGGAAGGCCCGCCCGGUGGCUGAGGUGGCUCCCGCGCCAGCCCCCUGGCCUCUCUCAGACUCUCCGCCUUCAUUUCUCGGGGCUGUCGGAACAGAGUGCCACAGACAGCGGCUGAGAUGGCAGAUGUUUAUUCUCUCACGGUCUGGAGGCUACAGGUCCCAGCGUCCCCAGAGCUGGCUCCUUCUGAGGCUGAGAGGGGCAACCUGUCCCAGGCCUCUCCUCUGGCUUCCGGGGGUUUGCUGGUGACCUUGAUGCUCGUGGGGUCGUAGGGGUAGCUCCCCGAUCUCUGCCUCCGACUUCGCGUGGUGUUUUCCCCGCGUGCACGCCCGCGUUCCAGUCUCCCUUUUUGGUCAGGACAUCGCCAUGUUGAAUCAGAGCCACCCUCCUGACCUCAUUUAAUGAUCACCUCGGUAAAGACUUAUUUCCAACAAGAUCACAUUCACGGGGACUAGGGGCUAGGACCCCACACACUUUAUUGGGAGGGGGACACAGUUCGACCCAUAAUACCCUCCGAGAUGCCAUACCGCCCCCGCAUCCGAGCCUGUGCACGUACAGGCCCCUCGGUCUAGAAUGUUCUGUCCCCCCGGCUUCUGCUCUCGGCUGCCGUCCUCACCUCGGAGCUGUGGCUGGCACGUAGCAAAGUCUCACUGGGCAUCCCUCACGUGCCUGUGCACAGGAUGCCGUUCCUGCAGGAGGAACUAUAUCGGAAGCGUUUUUGGAGAUUUUCUUGCCGGCACCAAGCAAUCCUGUUGCUGCUGCUUUAUCAGUGCAUGAUUGUUGCACCUGUCAGGGAAUGUGAAUUUCUCUUUCCCAUUAUCUUCUCGUUUUCGAUAUCGAGCGCUAGUAAUACAUGUCACACCUGCAGCGUGCUGCGUCACGUAAGGGGAUGUCGACGUCGGAAAUGAUGACUCUUGUAAACAGACGACGCUGACUCAUGGCGUCGACAAAUACAGCACAGCAACGUGAAUGUUUCUCUUUCUCAUGAUUUUCUUAACGUCUUUUUGCUACCUUACUUUAUUGUGAGGAUGCGGCAUACACUAUGUGGAUUUUCGGCCCCCUCUGCCCCCUCGGCCCCCCCACUGUGCAAGGGUCAGCUGUAUAUCCCCACCCCCACUCAAAAUGAAAGCAGCACUGUGAAAUAUGUUUUGAGCACUCGGCAAGCGUGGAGGACAACAUGUAAUUUCCCCAGGAUUAGCUGGGGCUGGACUUCCGAGCUUUGCGUUCUCGGAUUAGCUCUAAUGCACAGCUGAUCCUUCUUAAACCCUUGGGUGAUUGCGUUCAUCCGUUCUCUUUCUUUAACUUUUCUCAUUUGCUUUUCUAAUUAAAAAACUAAUUCAGGUUCAUUGCAAAAAUGUCUGAACAGGCUGAUAAGCAAAACAAAUAAAAAUCAUCCGUAAUCCUGUCACCCAGAGAUCACUGUGCUGGGAGGUUUGUUCCAGACCUUUUCUCUACAUCGAUAGCUGAUCGGGAACAGCGUGGGUCUGCAUUUGAAAGCCGAAUGGCCCGUUUUUAAUGUGUGUAUUUGUGCAUCGUUUGCAACUGCAUUUAUUAUUUUUUGCAGUUUACUGAUAUUGCACAGUUAGCCUCUGCUUCUUUGCUGUUUGCUGUAGUAACAGUCCAGAAGAACUAGCUGAAAAGUCAAAAGCUUCUGUUCUCCCUCCCGACAAUCAUCCUCCCCAGGGGUAACACUAUAUCAUGGUUGGAUGUAUAUUUUCCUGGAUAUUUUAUAUGCAUACGUGUAUUUUUAAAAUGACAGUGGAUCGUAUGGUA